rnacentral:lncRNA from 10 species
GGGGACUGCUGUCAGGCCUAGCCACCCACCCUUGGCAGCACUGUCCCAUCUCAGGACUGGACUUUCUCAGAUCCUGCAGAGGGCACAGCCUCCAGCCCAGGAGGGGCAGCCCCUUGGUGCAGCCCAAGCUCUCCAUGGGCCUGGAGCAUCCCUGCCAGCCCUGCGCUCCCUCUACUCCCAGGUCCCGCUUUUCAAGUGUCAGCCAGCAGAGAGGCUCCGUCCUCCCUUCCCUUUGUGUCUCCUGGGCUAAAACUUGGGGCGCAUUGGGACAGGGAUGGUGCUUUCCUCAGGCCCAUUUAGGGAGGGGACUGGCUCCCAGCCUGGCACAGGUCCUCAGCUCUGCCUUGGUUGCCUUAGAGUGACAUGGAUCAGUCAGUGCCCUGAAGGUAAAUGGAAGAGACUGUCCCUGCUGUGUGGGAGGCUGGUCUAGGGAUGGAGGACUUGGCAGGUCCUCCCAGUCUGUCAGGCCUGGACAGCACUGUCCUGUCUCAGGACUCAGAAAAUCCGGUCUUGGGAUGGAAUGGUGCUGCCCAGGGUGGGUGGCCAGGGCUUGACAGCAGUCCCCCAGGGAGUGACCACAUCAGCCAACCAGGGUCCAGGGAGCCUGGCCUGAGACCCACCCAGUGCAUUGAGGGUGCACCUGGAGCCCACCCCACCUGAUGCCCCCACAGCCCUCGCAGGGUCUGACCUCCCAGCAUGCACCUGCCUCUCCCUGCACCCCAGAUGUCCACCCUGCUUUUUCCCUGAUUUCCUCCAUCCUGUCCAGCAGGAUGGGCUGGUCAGUGGGAUAGCCUCUGUGCACAUUUUGUGGCAAGUAGGAGUGACACAUCAUUCCUGGGAGGCCCCGUGGUUCCUGCCAAACCCAACCCCAGAAUUCUCCCUGAGGUGGUUUUACCAAACCCAUAACCCAGAACUGCUAUUGUGGUUUGGAGGUCAGCACCCACCAGUGCCAGGGCACUACUGGGAGGCUGGGACCUGACCAAAGCCCAUGGUGUCUGUGGCCUGAGGACAGGGUGUCUUGGGGCCAUGAGGACAGGCCACCAAUGGCCGUUGGGUCAUAGGGCCUGAGCCCCAGUGUUUGUCCUUCCCUGGCUCCUUCUGGUUCAGUCCCAUCAGGGCUCUGGAUCCCAAGACGCAGCAUCCAAGGUUCCCUCCAGGAAUCCUGGUGGCUCGGCUUACUUUGUCAUGUUUCAUCUGAUAGCAAAAAUAUCAGAUCGGCUGCACAGAAAAAUGGCUCAAAGUGCUUAAUGACCAGAAGAAAUCUGGGAGCAGCAAGAAGGUAAUGUGGAGAGGGGAGGACCUCCAUGACCGGUGUCUGCAGAGCCAGGGGUACAGGCACCCAGUGCAGUGAGCUGGCACCACCUGCCUCUCAGAGGGUGGGUAGCACACUGUCCUUACCUGGGGGACAGCAGGCCUGGUCACCGGCUUUUCUCCCUGUCCCUGCAAGCAUCACAUUGCUGGAAGAGAAUCUCAUGCCAGAGCUUGGACCAUCCCUAGCUUGGGGGUUAGGGGUUGUCUCUUGGUGACCUAAAUGAAAAAAUAGGUCCAGAUCAGAGUUCGUGAUGCAUAGCACUCACCCACUCUUUGAAGCAUGGGAGGGGAGGCCUAGUCCUAGGUAAACCUAAACUCUUUGAGGAACCACAGAGCCCAAGGCUGGAAACCUCCAGAAUCCUCCAGCCCCUGAUCCCACCCCCCCCCGGGGACCUCUGUGGCCUGUCUCACCAGAGCACUCUUCUGUCUGUAGAGGUCUCAGGUGCUCUACAAGGGAGUCCCAUUUCAGGUGUGGGGCUGGGUAUGGUCACUCCUGCUGGAUGUCUAGAAGGUGAAAACCAAGGACCUAGGAAAAUACCAGAUACAGCCUUUCCACCGUCAUCCAGAGCAGGACAAACACGCCAGGUGGUGUCAGGAGCCCAGGUCUCCAGCUGGAGGGAAUGUCAACCCUGCAGUGGGAGCCCAUCAUGCAUCCUAGGCACAGAUGCUAACGUAGGCACCGCAGGAAUCCCAGUGAAUAUAUUGCCACCAUCUUGGAGCUCAGUGCCCUCAUAGUGUAACAGCACCAGCAGAUCUGCCUGUGCACAGACUUCCUGUACUACCUCACUCCUGAGGGGAGAUGCUUCUGCAGGGCCUGCGACCUGGUGCACAACUUUAGACACCAUCAUCCUGGAGCGGCACUGCACCCUCACUAGCCAGGGUGUUGAUGACUUCCUCAAUGCCAAGGCCACGUUCAAGAUUUUCGACUUCAGUGAUGCGUUUGUGCUGAGCAAGCCAAGAGACCCAAGCCUGCCUUGCUGCCACUUAGGAUAUGACAGCACAGCCAGUGGCCUCUACUGGAUCCUGGUACCCCUCAGAAGACACCCAGACACUGGGAGUGCUGCCACCUCGUGGUGCAAGAGUUCUGAGGGACGGCAAUUCUGAAGACAUUGAAUGCCGUUUUGCACACCCUGGUCAGAAUGAAACAUUCCUUGGGAACUCGGGCCGUGAGAAGCAUCCUUCCUGAUCACCUGACUGUAGAAACAUCCUUAUCGCACCCUCCCGGGCAAAGGCCCAACAGCCUGACUGCAGGAACAUCCUUGCCAUAUCCUGCCGGGCAGCAAGCUCUACCGCCCACACCCCUCCUUCCCAGUCCCAUGAUCACCCCAGCCUGUGAGAGGCAGUUGGUGCUGGCAGUAAGCUGGUUUCCUCCUCUGCAGGGUUUUGCUAGUAAUAAAGGUGUUGCUGUUGAAGCCGUCAACUGUCUUUCUGUGUCUUUCUUUAACCCUUGCCUUGCCUUCAAAAUCUAACA